UACAGAGGUCUCAAGCGUUGUUCGGAUUCAUUGGGCGUAAAGGGUGCGUAGGUGGCGCCGUAAGUCAGGUGUGAAAUCUCGGGGCUCAACCCCGAAACUGCAUUCGAUACUGCGGUGCUUGAGGACUGGAGAGGAGACUGGAAUUCAUGGUGUAGCAGUGAAAUGCGUAGAGAUCAUGAGGAAGACCAGUGGCGAAGGCGGGUCUCUGGACAGUUCCUGACACUGAGACACGAAGGCCAGGGGAGCAAACGGG
rnacentral:rRNA from 1 species